rnacentral:tRNA from 1 species
UAUGUAGCUCAGUGGACAGAGCGUUCGCCUCCGGAGCGAAAGGUCGCAGGUUCGACUCCUGUCAUA